rnacentral:rRNA from 1 species
AAGCGUUACUCGGAAUCACUGGGCGUAAAGAGCAUGUAGGCGGAUUAAUAAGUUUGAAGUGAAAUCCUAUAGCUUAACUAUAGAACUGCUUUGAAAACUGUUAGUCUAGAAUGUGGGAGAGGUAGAUGGAAUUUCUGGUGGUAGGGGUAAAAUCCGUAGAGAUCGGAAGGAAUACCGAUUGCGAAGGCGAUCUACUGGAACAUUAUUGACGCUGAGAUGCGAAAGCGUGGGGAGC